UUAUUCGCCUAGAAGAGGAGUAGUAGAAACGAACGCAUUUCAGAGAGCCCACGGUGCUGAGAGUGGACAUGCGAGAACUUCGAACUUACCUUGGAGCAUGAUCGAAUGAUCGAUCCGGUUAGAGACCGUUAUUUCUGUUGAGGUCUGCCAUAGAGCAGAUAAAGAUAGGUGGUACCACGUUGAUAACGUCCUAUAA
rnacentral:ncRNA from 1 species